UCUCGGUACCUCUACCAGUCGGAUCGGUGCUUGUUUUACAAGGUAAUGGAGCUGAUGUUGCAAAGCAUUGUGUACCUCGUGUUCCAUCUAAAAGAAUUUCCAUUACUUUUAGAAGGAUGGAUGAAAGCAAAUUGCCUUACAACUACAAACCUGACCCAGAGCUUAUGAGAAUUCAACCUAUUGUUCUUCGUCCCCUUCAAUUUAAAGAAUCAU